rnacentral:siRNA from 1 species
GGUGUCUUCCCCAACCGAAUGGCC